GUGGAUGCGGAUUUCUGCUUGGAAGGAGAGGUGAUUUGGAUACAUUUGAUCCCUGUGAGAGGAGCGAUGAAUCUGUGGUUGUCCUGAGUCCGCGUUCCGAGGCGACAACUGGAGGGAGGGAGUGAAUAUCAGGGGCCGCGGCUAGAGAUGGAAGCCGGCCCUUUUGACGACGCCAUCUUCACCGACUUCCCCAACAACGGAAACGUCCUCGUCUCCAACCCCAAACUCCCACCCACUUCCGGGGACGCCAGAACCCCCAACGCAGACUCUCCCUCGAAUAUCCACUCCAUCAAGGUGAUGUUGGGCCUGCAACACCACCAUUUCUACCACCACUCCUCGGAGCUCAUGCUGGGGCUGGGCUCAGGGCCGCAGGGUCAACUGGAGAAACUGCCCGAGGCGCAGGGACAGUCCCACAACGGGGCGCAGGACUUCAACUGCAUGUUCAGGCCGGGCAGUGUGGGCCAGGCGCCGACCCCAGGACUCGAGGGCGGGCUUCUCCAGGACUCGCCUGUCUCUGGGGUCCACCUCCCCCCGCCAAACCCCCACUCGCCGGGGCAGCGGAAGCCCGAGGACGGAAACAUCGGCUCCCCCGCACCUCAGCCACCCCCUCCUACCACCACGACAGGUAACGCAGAGACCAGGCCUGCCGUAAAAAAAAUCAGAGACGAAGAAAAAAAGUGAUUCCAACGGUAUAAAGAAGAAAAAAACGAGGUGAGAAUAAUUUUUAUCCUUUGAAGGGACUGGUCGCACCGUCAUUAAUUUUAAAAGAUGUAACAUUAGGAGAAUUUUUAAGUUGUAGAUAGUUCCUAGUUAUUUUUUUUUUUAUUUUUUUAUUUUUAUUUUCUGUUA
rnacentral:lncRNA from 1 species